rnacentral:rRNA from 1 species
CAGGCUUAACACAUGCAAGUCGAGGGGCAGCAUGGUCUUAGCUUGCUAAGGCCGAUGGCGACCGGCGCACGGGUGAGUAACACGUAUCCAACCUGCCGUCUACUCUUGGACAGCCUUCUGAAAGGAAGAUUAAUACAAGAUGGCAUCAUGAGUCCGCAUGUUCACAUGAUUAAAGGUAUUCCGGUAGACGAUGGGGAUGCGUUCCAUUAGAUAGUAGGCGGGGUAACGGCCCACCUAGUCUUCGAUGGAUAGGGGUUCUGAGAGGAAGGUCCCCCACAUUGGAACUGAGACACGGUCCAAACUCCUACGGGAGGCAGCAGUGAGGAAUAUUGGUCAAUGGGCGAGAGCCUGAACCAGCCAAGUAGCGUGAAGGAUGACUGCCCUAUGGGUUGUAAACUUCUUUUAUAAAGGAAUAAAGUCGGGUAUGCAUACCCGUUUGCAUGUACUUUAUGAAUAAGAAUCGGCUAACUCCGUGCCAGCAGCCGCGGUAAUACGGAGGAUCCGAGCGUUAUCCGGAUUUAUUGGGUUUAAAGGGAGCGUAGAUGGAUGUUUAAGUCAGUUGUGAAAGUUUGCGGCUCAACCGUAAAAUUGCAGUUGAUACUGGAUAUCUUGAGUGCAGUUGAGGCAGGCGGAAUUCGUGGUGUAGCGGUGAAAUGCUUAGAUAUCACGAAGAACUCCGAUUGCGAAGGCAGCCUGCUAAGCUGCAACUGACAUUGAGGCUCGAAAGUGUGGGUAUCAAACAGGAUUAGAUACCCUGGUAGUCCACACGGUAAACGAUGAAUACUCGCUGUUUGCGAUAUACAGCAAGCGGCCAAGCGAAAGCGUUAAGUAUUCCACCUGGGGAGUACGCCGGCAACGGUGAAACUCAAAGGAAUUGACGGGGGCCCGCACAAGCGGAGGAACAUGUGGUUUAAUUCGAUGAUACGCGAGGAACCUUACCCGGGCUUAAAUUGCAGAUGAAUUACGGUGAAAGCCGUAAGCCGCAAGGCAUCUGUGAAGGUGCUGCAUGGUUGUCGUCAGCUCGUGCCGUGAGGUGUCGGCUUAAGUGCCAUAACGAGCGCAACCCUUGUUGUCAGUUACUAACAGGUUCCGCUGAGGACUCUGACAAGACUGCCAUCGUAAGAUGUGAGGAAGGUGGGGAUGACGUCAAAUCAGCACGGCCCUUACGUCCGGGGCUACACACGUGUUACAAUGGGGGGUACAGAGGGCCGCUACCACGCGAGUGGAUGCCAAUCCCAAAAACUUCUCUCAGUUCGGACUGGAGUCUGCAACCCGACUCCACGAAGCUGGAUUCGCUAGUAAUCGCGCAUCAGCCACGGCGCGGUGAAUACGUUCCCGGGCCCUGUACACACCGCCCGUCAAGCCAUGGGAGCCGGGGGUACCUGAAGUGCGUAACCGCGAGGAGCGCCCUAGGGUAAAACUGGUGACUGGGGCUAAGUC